AAGGUAAUAGUUCAGUGGCAGAGCAUGUGCUUAGCAUGCAUGAGGUCCUGGGUUCAAUCCCCAGUACCUCC
rnacentral:tRNA from 1 species